ACGGAGAUCUCGCUCCUGUGCUUCCCAGCACUUGCCAGCCUCAGUACUGGCAGGAUGUCACAGAGAAAGUGCGGGAUGAUCGGGUGGCUGCGAAAAGAUAAAGAACCAGAGCUCUGAGGGUUUAAACGACCUAUGCAAGAUCACAAAGUCAGUGAACAGCAGAACCAGAAUUGUAAUUUUGAGCCUGAGCCCACACCACAUAUUGAGAAAACUAGAAGAGAAUGAACUUGGCCAGAGGAGAAUGAAAUGGCUUGAUAUAGAUGAAGAUGCAGCUGCCAUAAGUGAUGGAAACCACAGUAAUAUGUGAAGAACAGGGAUUCUGUGCUGCGGAGAUCAUUACGGAAGCAACAGUAGCAGGUGGCCUGGCCAUACAGGGAUUCCUUACUCGCAGCAGAGAAUGUUGCUGCCACUCAAAGUCACCAGGGGCUGAAGAGCUCCUGUGGAGACCCACAUCAUCUAACAACACACAUACUCAAAACAGGGAAAUGUGCAUUUUCGGGAGAGGAAGAGACAAACCUUUUGUUUAGCUAACUGGCAUGACAGAGUGUGACAUACAUGUGCUCCUGGAAGAACGGUGUUGGGUGUCUGCACUCAAAAUCUUGAGCAUAGGCAACUGGAUGAAGGGCUCUGUGGCAUUGAUUUUCAUUGUGUGUGUGUUAAUAUUUACAUUUAUAAUUAAAUAAAUAAUCGAAAUUAUGCUGAACUGAAAAAAGAU
rnacentral:lncRNA from 10 species